UCCGGCUUGUCACCGGCAGUUUCUCCAGAGUGCCCGGCCGAACCGAUGGCAACUGAAGAUGAGGGUUGCGCUCGUUGCGGGACUUAACCCAACAUCUCACGAUACGAGCUGACGACAGCCAUGCAGCACCUGUGUCCUAGUCCCCGAAGGGAAAGCUGCAUCUCUGCAGCGGUCCAGGCAUGUCAAAAGGUGGUAGGUUCUGCGCGUUGCUUCGAAUUAAACCACAUGCUCCGCCGCUUGUGCGGGCCCCCGUCAAUUCCUUUGAGUUUUAACCUUGCGGCCGUACUCCCCAGGCGGUCGACUUCACGCGUUAGCUUCGUUACUGAGAGUGUCAAACCCCCAACAACCAGUCGACAUCGUUUAGGGCGUGGACUAC
rnacentral:misc_RNA from 1 species